AUUCGGGGGUGUGGAAGGAAAGAGGAACACCACCCUCUGCCUUCCUCCUCAAAAGUUUCUUGUGAGGGAAGUUAGGGGUGGUUAUGGGCCAGUGGUGUGUAAAGCAGUCUCAGUUCUCUUUACAAAACAAACUGGGAAACACCCAUUCCUCCCCAAACUUGUGAUGCUCUAAGUCACACAGGAACAAUUGUUACCCCUAACUGAGAACAUGGUGCUUCAAGAGACUGCCAGUAGGAUUCCAUAUCAGUACUUUAGGCAGAGAGAAGUCUCGGUCCCAGUUAGCAUGAAAAAAAAAAAACUACAUUUUCAGAUUCCAUAACAAGUUUAUUGGAGUAUUCUUCACCAAAAUGAAUGGCAAGUGUCCGGAAGAAGAUGAUGACAGAUGCCCAUAGGAAAAUAAAGAUGCUUCCAACC
rnacentral:lncRNA from 1 species